rnacentral:rRNA from 1 species
UACGUAGGGUGCGAGCGUUAAUCGGAAUUACUGGGCGUAAAGCGUGCGCAGGCGGUUCGUUAUGUCCGUUGUGAAAGCCCCGGGCUCAACCUGGGAAUGGCAAUGGAAACUGGCGGGCUAGAGUGUGGAAGAGGGGGGUGGAAUUCCGCGUGUAGCAGUGAAAUGCGUAGAGAUGCGGAGGAACACCGAUGGCGAAGGCAGCCCCCUGGGCUAGCACUGACGCUCAGGCACGAAAGCGUGGGGAGCAAACAGG